CUCAGGUCAAAGGACUACUUUGCAUAUUGCAACUAUCGAGUUCUUACAUGACAUGUAUGUUCGAACUCUCUUUUAAUCGUAGUUCAGUGUACUCGAUUACUCUUUCGAGCACCUAUGUGUUUGUCUUAGUCUCCAACACUAAAUGACUUGAGACUAGUCAUACUCAUGCUUGAGUCGACAUAACACAUACUAACCUUAGCGGAUUGUCAAUACCCAAUUGGCAAUCCUAUGGCUAGGAACGUUUUAAGAAUGAACAUAAGAGAAAGGUCUCGUUAACCUAACUUACUUAAAUUACUUGUCUCUUAGAUCAAAUACAUUCCUUGGAUUCCCUUAUUGCUUAAACACAUGAUACAAUAAAUAGUGAUUAACAAUAAGUUUUGCCCUUCAUUAAACAUAUAAAAGUUUAAUACAAUAAGUAUUCCAAAAGCUAUUACAUCAAAUGAUUGGCUUCGUCAUUAAACAUACUUCCAACAAUGGCUUCGUCACAUUUCAGGUGUCGGCUAGCACAGCUUGAUUCGGAAUCCUAGUGGACAUUCCUGGUCGGGAUGUGCCAUCAGAAGAAGGAGCAAAAUUAAAAAAAAAAUACAAAAACCCCAUAAAAGACAAAUAUAUAUAAUAUUAUAUAGUCCGUGCAGCAAUCAGUGUGAGACCAAAUCCUUUCAUUGCAUUGGGGCCUAAAUUUAUGAAGGCAAGGCAGAAGGCAGUGCACGGCAAAGCAAGAAGUCACGGUCAGCGGCAAGCAGUACGCUGCAAACAGCGAGCGGCAUUACACAACAGGCAAUGUACAGUAAAACAGCAAGCAAUUCACAGCG
rnacentral:lncRNA from 1 species